GGUACUUUACAUUCUUUUCAUUUCUACUGUCUUCCAAAUCAGGUUUCUAUUGUACACUUAUAAGACAUCUCAAUUCAGACCUGCCACGUUUUCAAGUGCUCAAUAGCCUCAUGUGGCUAGUGGCUCCCACACCAGACAGUGGAACACUAAGAGGGUCACAUUUAAUAGCGAGUGGGCAACUGUGUCUUCAUGAUCAGGAUCAAGGUUUUUCUCUUCUGCUUCUUUUCUUCCAACUAGCUGGUUCAAUAAGUGAGUCUGGCCUCUCAGGCGAUGCUGGACGUUUCCCAUUUGGCAGGGCCCGUGUCCCGGAGUCAGGCCUGGCCUCCCUCCCUCACCCUCUCCUUUCCAGCUUCCCCACCUGAGACUGGGUGGACAGACGCAGAGGGAGGAAGUUGGAAGCCCCAUUGAACUCUUCCAGCUUAAGCCACAUUUUCCACAGCAAUUUUUACCAUCCUGUGGUAGACAAGGUAAUGCUUAAUAAAAACUGUGCUUUGUUUUCCAUUUGGCUCUUUUUCCCUCUGGUAUAUUCCCUUAGCAAGGAACUCGAGUAGAAAAGAAAUGAAUGGUGGGAUACAGGCACAAAAUCCCAUCUGUGAGCUCCAAAGACUUCUGACUCAUAACAGGACGUGAGUUGGCAGGAAGAUAACAUCCAAAGAAGGCUCCAUCCUACAUAUUGACUCAACUGGCCCAAGGGCAUCCCUGAGAUAGGCCACAGAGAGGGAGUAAGCGGAGAGAAGGCAGAAGCAGAGAAACCUCAGAGCUAAAGUAGAAAGCAGGAUCCACAUUAGGGGUAAUGUUGGGGGUGAACAGCAGCCAUAAGGGGGAGAUGAGCUGAGUAGAGCGAGGGUCAUCAGGAGCUGCGAAGGAACAAGAUGUUAAAAAGAAAGCAAAGGCUGAAACUCCCUUCAAAUACUGGUAGGCAUAGGGAGGCACAUGGGCAGCAGAAAAAUCCAGCUCUGGCUUUGGCUUCACGCUGCCUUCCUCAUCAACCAGAGAGGGCCCUGAC
rnacentral:lncRNA from 1 species